rnacentral:rRNA from 1 species
AACGAACGCUGGCGGCAGGCCUAACACAUGCAAGUCGAGCGCCCCGCAAGGGGAGCGGCGGACGGGUGAGUAACGCGUGGGAACGUACCCUUUGCUACGGAAUAGCCUCGGGAAACUGGGAGUAAUACCGUAUGUGCCCUUCGGGGGAAAGAUUUAUCGGCAAAGGAUCGGCCCGCGUUGGAUUAGGUAGUUGGUGGGGUAAUGGCCUACCAAGCCGACGAUCCAUAGCUGGUUUGAGAGGAUGAUCAGCCACACUGGGACUGAGACACGGCCCAGACUCCUACGGGAGGCAGCAGUGGGGAAUCUUAGACAAUGGGCGCAAGCCUGAUCUAGCCAUGCCGCGUGAGCGAUGAAGGCCUUAGGGUUGUAAAGCUCUUUCAGUGGGGAAGAGUAAUGACUGUACCCUACAGAAGAAGCCCCGGCUAACUCCGUG